CCUGUUAUCAUUCCGAACACAGAAGUUAAGCUCUUAUUCGCUGAUGGUACUGCGAGUUCGCGGGAGAGUAAGCUAUUGCCAGGGUUUUUAUUUUAUAUUUUAAACAUUGAUUUUAUUUUUUAUGUUUUUAGAUGUUCAUUUUUUUGAAUGUUUUAUUCAAAUAAUAUAAAAAAUAAAAUAUAUAUUGACAUGGAUUAAACAAAGAUAUAUAUUAUUCUAUGUUGCAUAAACAAAUUGGCAAAAUAGAGAUGGAAGAUAAAAAUAUGGUCAAAGUAAUAAGAGUCUAUGGUGAAUGCCUAGGAGCUUUAAGGCGAAGAAGGUCGUGGUAAG
rnacentral:misc_RNA from 1 species